rnacentral:rRNA from 1 species
GACGGGCCCGCACAAGCAGCGGAGCGUGUGGUUUAAUUCGAUGCUACACGAAGAACCUUACCAGGUUUGACAUGCAAGUGGUAGGAAGCCGAAAGGUGACCGACCCUUCGGGGAGCUUGCACAGGUGCUGCAUGGCUGUCGUCAGCUCGUGUCGUGAGAUGUUCGGUUAAGUCCGCUAACGAGCGCAACCCUCGCUGUGUGUUAUAUGUGUCACACGGGACUGCCGGUCUUAAGCCGGAGGAAGGUGGGGAUGAUGUCAAGUCAGCAUGGCCUUUAUAUCCUGGGCUACACACACGCUACAAUGGCCAACACAAUAGGUUGCUAAGCCGCGAGGUGGCGCCAAUCCAUAAAGUUGGUCUCAGUUCAGAUUGUAGGCUGCAACCCGCCUGCAUGAAGAUGGAGUUGCUAGUAACCGCAGGUCAGCUAUACUGCGGUGAAUACGUUCCCGGGGCUU